AUUGAACGCUGGCGGCAUGCCUUACACAUGCAAGUCGAACGGUAACAGGUUAAGCUGACGAGUGGCGAACGGGUGAGUAAUGUAUCGGAACGUGCCCAGUCGUGGGGGAUAACUGCUCGAAAGAGCAGCUAAUACCGCAUACGACCUGAGGGUGAAAGCGGGGGAUCGCAAGACCUCGCGCGAUUGGAGCGGCCGAUAUCAGAUUAGGUAGUUGGUGAGGUAAAGGCUCACCAAGCCGACGAUCUGUAGCUGGUCUGAGAGGACGACCAGCCACACUGGGACUGAGACACGGCCCAGACGCCUACGGGAGGCAGCAGUGUGGAAUGUUGGACAAAGGGCGCAAGCCUGAUCCAGCCAUGCCGCGUGCGGGAAGAAGGCCUUCGGGUUGUAAACCGCUUUUGUCAGGGAAGAAAAGGUUCUGGCUAAUACCUGGGACUCAUGACGGUACCUGAAGAAUAAGCACCGGCUAACUACGUG
rnacentral:rRNA from 1 species